rnacentral:rRNA from 1 species
UACGUAGGGUGCGAGCGUUAAUCGGAAUUACUGGGCGUAAAGGGUGCGCAGGUGGCCGCGCAAGUCGAGUGUGAAAUCCCCGGGCUUAACUUGGGAAUUGCGCUCGAAACUACGUGGCUCGAGUGUGGCAGAGGGGGGUGGAAUUCCACGUGUAGCGGUGAAAUGCGUAGAGAUGUGGAGGAACACCAAUGGCGAAGGCAGCCCCCUGGGCCAACACUGACGCUCAUGCACGAAAGCGUGGGGAGCAAACAGG